AGUGAACGCUGGCGGUAGGCCUAACACAUGCAAGUCGAACGGCAGCACAGUAAGAGCUUGCUCUUACGGGUGGCGAGUGGCGGACGGGUGAGGAAUACAUCGGAAUCUACUUUUUCGUGGGGGAUAACGUAGGGAAACUUACGCUAAUACCGCAUACGACCUACGGGUGAAAGCAGGGGAUCUUCGGACCUUGCGCGAUUGAAUGAGCCGAUGUCGGAUUAGCUAGUUGGCGGGGUAAAGGCCCACCAAGGCGACGAUCCGUAGCUGGUCUGAGAGGAUGAUCGGCCACACUGGAACUGAGACACGGUCCAGACUCCUACGGGAGGCAGCAGUGGGGAAUAUUGGACAAUGGGCGAAAGCCUGAUCCGGCCAUACCGCGUGGGUGAAGAAGGCCUUCGGGUUGUAAAGCCCUUUUGUUGGGAAAGAAAAGCAGCAGGUUAAUACCCCGCUGUUCUGACGGUACCCAAAGAAUAAGCACCGGCUAACUUCGUG
rnacentral:rRNA from 1 species